AUUGAACGCUGGCGGCAUGCCUUACACAUGCAAGUCGAACGGCAGCACGGGUGCUUGCACCUGGUGGCGAGUGGCGAACGGGUGAGUAAUGCAUCGGAACGUGCCCGGUCGUGGGGGAUAACGCAGCGAAAGUUGUGCUAAUACCGCAUACGUCCUGAGGGAGAAAGCAGGGGAUCUUCGGACCUUGUGCGAUUGGAGCGGCCGAUGUCAGAUUAGCUAGUUGGUGAGGUAAAAGCUCACCAAGGCGACGAUCUGUAGCUGGUCUGAGAGGAGGAUCAGCCACACUGGAACUACGCCACGGUCCAGACUCCUACGGGAGGCAGCAGUGGGGAAUUUUGGACAAUGGGGGCAACCCUGAUCCAGCCAUGCCGCGUGAGUGAAGAAGGCCUUCGGGUUGUAAAGCUCUUUCGGCCGGGAAGAAAUCGUGCAGGCUAAUACCCUGUAUGGAUGACGGUACCGGAAUAAGAAGCACCGGCUAACUACGUGCCAGCCGCCGCCGUAA
rnacentral:rRNA from 1 species